rnacentral:rRNA from 1 species
AGUGAACGCUGGCGGUAGGCCUAACACAUGCAAGUCGAACGGCAGCACAGUAAGAGCUUGCUCUUACGGGUGGCGAGUGGCGGACGGGUGAGGAAUACAUCGGAAUCUACUUUUUCGUGGGGGAUAACGUAGGGAAACUUACGCUAAUACCGCAUACGACCUACGGGUGAAAGCAGGGGAUCUUCGGACCUUGCGCGAUUGAAUGAGCCGAUGUCGGAUUAGCUAGUUGGCGGGGUAAAGGCCCACCAAGGCGACGAUCCGUAGCUGGUCUGAGAGGAUGGUCGGCCACACUGGAACUGAGACACGGUCCAGACUCCUACGGGAGGCAGCAGUGGGGAAUAUUGGACAAUGGGCGCAAGCCUGAUCCAGCCAUACCGAGUGGGUGAAGAAGGCCUUCGGGUUGUAAAGCCCUUUUGUUGGGAAAGAAAAGCAGCAGGUUAAUACCCCGCUGUUCUGACGGUACCCAAAGAAUAAGCACCGGCUAACUUCGUG